ensembl:snRNA U6 U6 spliceosomal RNA
UUGCUCUGGCAGCAAAUAUACAAAAAUGGGAACAAUACAGAGAUUAACAUGGCCGCUGCACAAGGAUGACAUGUUUAUUUUCAAAUUUUAAAUACAUAA